rnacentral:rRNA from 1 species
CAAACAUCGCCUCUUGACAAAAUAUAAGAGGUCCAGCCUGCCCAGUGACUCUGUUCAACGGCCGCGGUAUCCUAACCGUGCGAAGGUAGCGUAAUCACUUGUUCUUUAAAUGAGGACUAGUAUGAAUGGCACCACGAAGGCUACACUGUCUCCUUUUUCUGAUCAGUGAAACUAAUUUCCCCGUGAAGAAGCGGGGAUAGACCUAUAAGACGAGAAGACCCUAUGGAGCUUUAAACUAAAUAACACUCGCUUUUAUACAACUUUACUUCAGAGUAUUCAACAUUUAUUUUAGCCCCCUGAUUAUUAGUUUUAGGUUGGGGUGACCGCGGAGUAAAAAAUAACCUCCACAUUGAAGGGGGUAGUACCCCUGAGCUAUGAGCUACAACUCUAAGCACCAAUAAAUUGACAUUAAUUGACCCAAUAAAUUGAUCAACGAACCAAGUUACCCUAGGGAUAACAGCGCCAUCCGCUUUAAGAGCUCCUAUCGACAAGCGGGUUUACGACCUCGAUGUUGGAUCAGGGUAUCCCAGUGGUGCAGCCGCUACUAAAGGUUCGUUUGUUCAACGAU